GGAGACAUUGGCAGAGUAAGGAUCGGAAUGUUACAUACAGCUGGUAUAGACACAACAUACAUGUUGGGGGAAGGAAUUCUAACAUGUACAGUGCAAAUCAACAUAUAGCAAACAUAACACAUGUUCAGAAUAUUGGUACGCUAUGGUACAGCAAUGGGUAUACUAUAGCUUCAAACGGUCUUGGAUACACAGGGAGAAAUUGGAAACUGGAGAAAGUAAGCAAUCAGGGUCCUGCCACCAGUCCCAUGCAGGGUUAAUCGUCA